GAUGAACGCUGGCGGCGUGCCUAAUACAUGCAAGUAGAACGCUGAAGCUUGGUGCCUGCACCGAGCGGAUGAGUUGCGAACGGGUGAGUAACGCGUAGGUAACCUGCCUGGUAGCGGGGGAUAACUAUUGGAAACGAUAGCUAAUACCGCAUAACAGUCGACAUUGCAUGAUGUUGAUUUGAAAGGGGCAAUUGCUCCACUACCAGAUGGACCUGCGUUGUAUUAGCUAGUUGGUGAGGUAACGGCUCACCAAGGCGACGAUACAUAGCCGACCUGAGAGGGUGAUCGGCCACACUGGGACUGAGACACGGCCCAGACUCCUACGGGAGGCAGCAGUAGGGAAUCUUCGGCAAUGGACGGAAGUCUGACCGAGCAACGCCGCGUGAGUGAAGAAGGUUUUCGGAUCGUAAAGCUCUGUUGUAAGAGAAGAACGAGUGUGAGAGUGGGAAAGUUCACACUGUGACGGUAACUUACCAGAAAGGGACGGCUAACUACGUGCCAGCAGCCGCGGUAAUACGUAGGUCCCGAGCGUUAUCCGGAUUUAUUGGGCGUAAAGCGAGCGCAGGCGGUUAGAUAAGUCUGAAGUUAAAGGCUGUGGCUUAACCAUAGUACGCUUUGGAAACUGUUUAACUUGAGUGCAGAAGGGGGAGAGUGGAAUUCCAUGUGUAGCGGUGAAAUGCGUAGAUAUAUGGAGGAACACCGGUGGCGAAAGCGGCUCUCUGGUCUGUAACUGACGCUGAGGCUCGAAAGCGUGGGGAGCAACAGG
rnacentral:rRNA from 1 species